AGUAUAUAAGAUAUAAAGAUUUAAAAAUAUAUAAAUAUAUAUAAAUGUGCGUAAUUUUUACCAGAAGUUAUGGCAUAAAAUAUUGAAAUUCAGCUAAAAUAUAUUAUUGUAUAGUAGUUAUAUUAGCCGCCAUAUUGGUUUCUUUUACUACCUGAGUUUAUAGAAACAAUAGAUAUUAAAUUUAUGGAAUGCUCAACUUGCUAUGGAUAAAUACAUCCUAAAAUAUUCAUAAAUAUUGGCCAAUAUUAAGCAAGCAAUAAUAUGUAUGUAAUAUCAUUAAAAGAGGAAACAAGAACAGAUUUUUUUUAUAUUAGUAAACGACUGGAAGAAACAAAUGAUAUCACAAAGAAUAUGACGGUUAAUGUAAUCUAUAAAAUAAAAUAUUUUUUUAUAUA